GUCAGGUUUGGCUACAGGUGUCAUUACUUGCUAAGUCAUUCUCUGGUCUGUAACACAUGUUGGCAUAAUGGGCCAACAAACAAAAUGUGUAAUGUGACAUGAGAUGGGUCUCAGUUUUCACAGCCCACCUGGAAGGUUUACCACUUCCCCUCGUUGGUGGAAAUAGAAGUUAUCUCUAUUCAAACAUGCAACUAUAUAACAAUAGCUUCAACAGUAGGAACAUAACAAGGAAUCCAAAGGCAAUGGUUCCACAGGUGAUUUAGCGAUGUCAGUAAAGACUCAGUCUCACUAUCUUUCUGCUCUGUGUGCUUCAGUCAUCAGUUCUGUCUUCACAGUCACAAUGAGGCUGCAGUAUCACAAAGCCUCAUCUUCUUCACAUGAUGACAUUCUGUAAACGGGCAGAUGGGGGAUUUCCUUUCAUCUUUCUUCCUUUUUUCCUUUCUUUCUUUCUUUUUUCUUUUCUUUUGACAAAAUCUUGAUUGUAGCCCUGGCCGCCCUGGAACUGACUACAUAGACCAGACUGGCCUGAAACUCACAGAGAUCCUCCUGCGUCUGCUUUCCAAGCACUGGGAUUAAAGGCGUGGACCAUCAUGCCUGCCUCCUCCUCUAUCAGAGGUGAAAUCAUUUCGACUGUGAUGGAGGCUGGAAAGGGAAAGAAGAUUGAAGAAUAACAACAGGCCUUCUUGCAACUCUGGGAUAAACUACUGCAGAAGUAACUGUGAAUGGUGCCUUGUGCCCGAUAGAAAAGUGAGAGAAUGUCCAAACAGGCAGGAGGCCAGUAGAGCAGAGACAGAUGAAGAGCUGAUCUGAGACCUGCAGCAGGAAAGCAUUCAAUAAGGCCCCAGCACUCUGGUCAAGAAAGUCUGAGCUCCCAGUAGAAAUCACCAGUGAGACCAACCACCGAGCAUGAAGGCUACAGAGCAACGUGGCUGACUUGCUGAAUUUCAGAUAUUGCAAUGAUCAGAAACGGGGUAAAAUAACUACGCUUGAAUCUUUUAAUGGCAUCUGGAAAAAUUGAUCAAAGAAUACCAUCUAAAACAUCUUAGCAGUUAGCAAUAAAGCACUCAAAAAAUUAAAAGAAAUAAAAGCAAAAAUUAAACUAAAAAACUAAGUGGAUAGAAGUAUGACCCUGCCUGGACCUGGCCCCUCCUUCUGAUGCCACACCUUCUGGGAUUAACAAGCUCUUCCUGGAUGCCCACAUCUGACUUCUUUCAUUUCCUGUGGUCGCCCAGACGGUACAAAUUGGCUGGAAUCCUCUGUUCAUUUUAUUAAAGGUUGAUAUGGGGUGGGGGGAAUAAAUCCACCAAAGAAUAAAAGAAAAUGAAAAUUUGACAAUACAGCCCUGAGGAGUCAUUCUACAGUUUCAUUUUCCUCUCUGAAGCAAUUAAGUCCUAAUUACAUAGACCCAGAAACAUUACAGCGAGAUGUGUUCUAGCUCCUUAGACUGCAGUCAUGAGAAUAAAUCAUAUUUGCAGAUCUAAGAAAAUCUGUUGAAAGAACAAUAGAGUUAUUCAUCAGGAGUAUGGCAAUUCAAUGUUUUGUUAUAUACCAGAGACAAAUUAAAUCUUUUGGUUGUUUGCUUGGUUUAUAUCAAGUUGCAAACAAGAUGGUUUUCAAGAAACAUGGUCUUUAAAAAAAGACAGGGUAUUUCAUUUUUGAAUACAAUACAAAAGUUUCUUUCUCAGAGCACUGUUGGUGGAAGGGAAGCAGUUGACGUUUACAAAGAGAAUACAUUCAGUUGACUAUCUAAUUGUAUAUACUUACCAAGGGAGGCAAUAUACCAAUAUGCUGCAGGAAACUAAGAUAAAUCAGCCAUCCAAAACCUUUAACAAAGUGUGAGCAAUUUCUGAAGCUUUAGCAAAACUCACAUCACUUAAAAAUACAUUUACCAUAAAAAGUUCAUGUUUAAUGUCUUGUGGGCAUUAGCCUCUCACAAAGAAGUCAACUGUAGCUAGCAUGGCCCUCUUAAGUUCUCUGGUUACAAUAGACCUGGUUGCUUUCUGCUACUGUGAUAAGGGCCAUAACCAAAGGCAACUUGGGAGAAAAGGGUUUAUUUCACCUGGCAGCUAGUCCUCUUUCUCUGGCUAUUAGCAUGGUAAGUCAAGAUGAGAAAUCACCAAAAAGAGCAAUCAGCAACAGCACCCCAAAUCUGAGUAUAAAUUCUCAUCUCUCUGGCAAUACACAAAGCAACUUAGUGAUUCUGAGCUGGUAAGUGGAUGGAGUCACAAACUACUGGGCAGGGUUUUCAGCAGCUUCCCACUCAUGGGGCUCCUGAGUCCAAAGUUCAAGUCCUGGAAGGGUAUAUUUAUGUGACGAAUACUUUAUGUGAGCCAGUGCAGUACUUCAGAAACAAACUUUUUAAAAGUGCCCAUAGGGUAUGGUAGCACAAGCCUUUAAUCCCAGCACUGGUGACAGCUGCAGGUGGAUCUCUGUGAGUUUCAGGUUAGCAAGUUCCAGGACAACAAGAGUUACAUAGAGG
ensembl:lncRNA